UCCGGUUGAUCCCGCCGGACCUGACUGCUAUCGGAUUGAUACUAAGCCAUGCGAGUCGUUGUAGCAAUACAAGGCAUACGGCUCAGUAACGCGUAGUCAACCUAACCUAUGGACGGGAAUAACCUCGGGAAACUGAGAAUAAUGCCCGAUAGAACAUUAUGCCUGGAAUGGUUUAUGUUCCAAAUGAUUUAUCGCCAUAGGAUGGGACUGCGGCCUAUCAGUUUGUUGGUGAGGUAAUGGCCCACCAAGACUAUUACAGGUACGGGCUCUGAGAGGAGUAGCCCGGAGAUGGGUACUGAGACACGGACCCAGGCCCUAUGGGGCGCAGCAGGCGAGAAAACUUUGCAAUGUGCGAAAGCACGACAAGGUUAAUCCGAGUGAUUUCUGCUAAAGAGAUCUUUUGUUAGUCCUAGAAACACUAACGAAUAAGGGGUGGGCAAGUUCUGGUGUCAGCCGCCGCGGUAAAACCAGCACCUCAAGUGGUCAGGAUGAUUAUUGGGCCUAAAGCAUCCGUAGCCGGCUCUGUAAGUUUUCGGUUAAAUCUGUACGCUCAACGUACAGGCUGCCGGGAAUACUGCAGAACUAGGGAGUGGGAGAGGUAGACGGUACUCGGUAGGAAGUGGUAAAAUGCUUUGAUCUAUCGAUGACCACCUGUGGCGAAGGCGGUCUACCAGAACACGUCCGACGGUGAGGGAUGAAAGCUGGGGGAGCAAACCGGAUUAGAUACCCGGGUAGUCCCAGCUGUAAACUAUGCAAACUCAGUGAUGCAUUGGCUUGUGGCCAAUGCAGUGCUGCAGGGAAGCCGUUAAGUUUGCCGCCUGGGAAGUACGUACGCAAGUAUGAAACUUAAAGGAAUUGGCGGGGGAGCACCACAAGGGGUGAAGCCUGCGGUUCAAUUGGAUUCAACGCCGGA
rnacentral:rRNA from 1 species